UAUAUAUAUAUAGAGAGAGAGAGACCAAGAAGGAGAAGGGUAGCAAGAGACGAGAACAGAGCGGCGGGUGCAACAGCUUUCACUUUUUGCCAUGGCUUGGGGGUGCCACAUGAACAUGGUUCUUCUGUUAGUUAUACUGGAGAUCAUUCUGCUCUUUACGACACAAUCUGGAGGGCUGGUGGUUCCCUGUCCAUCGGGUACAAGACCAACAGCCGGAAGGGACGGGGCGAACUGCCCCCCGUGUAACAGAAAGCCUUGUUGUUGUUGAAAGUUGAUGGGCUUUCGGGCCAUUUAAAAUUCCUGAUAAAAUCACGGAGAUCCAUUAGUUGAUGCUUGGCAUGAGCAAAUUCAAUCCGUAUGAAGGGUAGUUGAGACCAAUACAUAAGGGACUCUAUCCCUACAUCUCUCUCCCUAUCUCUUCUCUCUCUCAUGUGCACUCCUCCGCUACCAUGUUCCUCACUGUAAUCCAUGUAAUAAGAAUGCCUUGCAGCAACCGAGGAUCUCACAUACGGUUGCCGAGUAUUUCCCCAUCUACCAGGUGUAACUCUAUGGGUAAUAGGCAUAGAGGAUGUUUGUCGAGAGUCCCGUAAAAAAACUCAGCAAAGAAAAGGUUCGAGGUAAAGUGUGGUCUUUGCUGAGUGUCGCUCACUCAAAUAGCUAUCCGGCAGGGCGCCUCCUAACCAAUAAAAAGGGGGACACAUGACGGCACGUAAAUGCUUAGUAGAAAGCCUACGGUUGUAAUAAUACAUCUGUUUGUGAUGGUGCCGUAGCCGCUCAUUCCAAAAUAACUUUAUUCAUUAUUAA